rnacentral:rRNA from 1 species
CGGACGGGUGAGUAACGCGUGAGAAUCUGCCCUCAGGAGGGGGAUAACGGCUGGAAACGGCCGCUAAUACCCCAUAUGCCGAGAGGUGAAACGAAUUUCGCCUGAGGAUGAGCCCGCGUCUGAUUAGCUAGUUGGUGGGGUAAGAGCCUACCAAGGCGACGAUCAGUAGCAGGUCUGAGAGGAUGAUCAGCCACACUGGGACUGAGACACGGCCCAGACUCCUACGGGAGGCAGCAGUGGGGAAUUUUCCGCAAUGGGCGCAAGCCUGACGGAGCAACGCCGCGUGAGGGACGAAGGCCUCUGGGCUGUAAACCUCUUUUCUCAAGGAAGAAGAUCUGACGGUACUUGAGGAAUAAGCCACGGCUAAUUCCGUGCCAGCAGCCGCGGUAAUACGGGAGUGGCAAGCGUUAUCCGGAAUUAUUGGGCGUAAAGCGUCCGCAGGCGGCUUUGUAAGUCUGCUGUCAAAGCGUGGAGCUUAACUCCAUUUCGGCAGUGGAAACUACGAGGCUUGAGUGUGGUAGGGGCAGAGGGAAUUCCCGGUGUAGCGGUGAAAUGCGCAGAUAUCGGGAAGAACACCAGUGGCGAAGGCGCUCUGCUGGGCCAUAACUGACGCUCAUGGACGAAAGCCAGGGGAGCGAAAGGGAUUAGAUACCCCUGUAGUC